rnacentral:misc_RNA from 1 species
GGGAUGUAAAGCAAAAUCUGGAAUGAAAUUCACAAUGGGAAACCAACCCAGAAAAGUUUUUCCCCCGCCCCUGUACAUUCACGUUUUACACUGUACUACAAAAAUGUACAGGAGACCUUAGCCUUGUUAUCUUUGAAUGAAAUUUGUUAAACACAAAAGAAGGCAUGCAAUACAAUCUACCAAUUUUGCAUUUGGAUUGCACAUACAAAUGCCAAGCACAUAAUCAGCAGAAACAUGAUUUUAGGCAACUAUAGUUGUUGCAAACCAAGCACACGUAUAUACCUUAGCAUUGGGACUAUUG